UCUUGAUUUACACUGCAGUUUGCAGUGUUUUAUCUGGGCUACACGCUUUUUUACUAGUGCAGUGUAAUGCUUUCAAGCAACCUGUCUUAAAAUACAACUGCAACACCUAAUAUGUGAAGCAGUGGUGAUUAAUUAAGUAAAAAAGCUACAGGGU
rnacentral:ncRNA from 1 species